UGGGACACUAGGGGACACUGAAAGACACAGGGAGACAUGGGACACUCCCAGUGUCCCCAUGUCUCCCAGCCAGUGUCCCUAGCAUCUCAGUAUCCCACCAUCUCCCAGUGUCCCUGGUUUAUCUCAGUGUCCGUAGUGUGCCAGUGUCCCUAGUAUCUUAGUGUUUCCUAGUCUCCCGGUGUCCCCAUGUCUCCUAGUGUCUCAGUGUCCC